rnacentral:lncRNA from 1 species
CCCCUGGAUCUGUUUUCUAAAUUUCACUUCAUCCCCCAUAAUUUCCAGCUUUUUGUAUUCUUGAUCUGUCCUCUGAGAUGUUUCCCACAUUUGAAUUUUCCAAGUCAUCGAUGUGGUCUUUAACAGGAUCACCUGUUCCUUGAUUUUUAAAUGUAAAAGCCAUGGGUAGUUUUUGCUUCUUGACUUUGUUUUUGGUUCCCGUGGGCAUUUUUUUUAAUAAAAUAGGACUCUUACUAUUUAAUACUAUAAGGACUUGAGUCCUUAUUUUUACUUGAAUAGUACGCAUUUGCAAUAGCUUUUUAAACAAGAUUGCUGUCUAUUUCCUCCAGCUACUGUAUUUAUUCAAAGGAUUCACCUCUCUCUCUGGGUGUUCUUAUUGUUUGUCUCUGCAGUUGACUGUUGAAAAUACUUCAGACCUCAGGUGUGUGGGGCCUUGGAGGCUCUUUUGUGAGCUCUUGCUCUGUUCUGUCAUAGCACCUGGUCAGGUUAUCAACAAUGACAGUGACCUCAGCAGCACUGGAAAUCAAAGCAGCCUCUGAUGCCAGGGGCCAACCAACCCUGGGGCCAGGUUGCCUCUUCCCUGGAGGAACUUGGGAAGCCUCUCUGCUCUUCAUCUCCUCCGCAGCAGAGACCACAGCUCUUGGGAGAGGGCACCCAGUACGUGCUCAGUUCUGCUCAGCUCCUUGGGAUCAGGGAGGCCAGCAUGUGUCCCUAGGACCACACAGAGCUGCAUCUACCUUUUCCAAAGCCCACCUGUCUACCAGCAAGGGAAGACAUUGUAAAGAGUCUUCUUCCCAGGAAGAGGAGCGGCAGCUCCAGAGGAGGCCACAUUCAAGCACCACUUAUCAAAAAUUAAGAAUUGAUCGGACUUUAGCAGCAGACCAGUAAGGGGUGGAACUGCCUGGAGCUAGCCUGCAGCUCUCACCCCAAGCCCCAACCUCAGCAGCAGACUGGUAAGACGUAGAGCUGCAUGGCCCCUGGAGACCUCCCCCCUACACGCCUCUGGCCUCCUGCCUGGUGCUGGUACCUGGAUUCACACCACAGAAGUAUGGGGGGCGUGUCAUAAAGGCCGUUGUCCAAGCUCUAGCC